rnacentral:rRNA from 1 species
UUAAAAAGCUCGUAGUUGGAUUUCUGCGGGAGACGAAGGGUCUACCUUACGGGUAAGUAUCUCCCAGGCUCCUGCAUCCUCAACAGGAACGUCGCUGCGAUUCAUUUCGUGGUACGGUACUGUUGACUUUUACUUUGAGGAAAUUAGAGUGUUCACGGCAAGCAAACGCGUGUAUACAUUAGCAUGGAAUAAUAAUAUAGGACCUUGGAUCUAUUUUGUUGGUUUCUAGAACUAAGGUAAUGAUAAAUAGGGACAGUUUGGGGGCAUUUGUACUAACGCGUCAGAGGUGGAAUUCUUGGAUUGCGUUAUGACAAACUACUGCGAAAGCAUUUGCCAAGGAUGUUUUCAUUGAUCAAGAACGAAAGUAUGGGGAUCGAAGACGAUUAGAUACCGUCGUAGUCUAUACCAUAAACUAUGCCAACUAGGAAUGAGACGGAUGUAUAUUUUAUGACCCGUUUCGCGCCUUAUGAGAAAUCAAAGUUUUUGGGUUCCGGGGGGAGUAUGGUCGCAAGUCUGAAACUUAAAGGAAUUGACGGAAGGGCACCACCAGGAGUGGACCUGCGGCUUAAUUUGACUCAACACGGGAAAACUUA